rnacentral:rRNA from 1 species
GACGAACGCUGGCGGCGUGCUUAACACAUGCAAGUCGAACGGUGAAGCGCCUUCCUUUUUGGUGGGUGUGGAUGAGUGGCGAACGGGUGAGUAACACGUGAGUAACCUGCCCCCUCUUCUGGAUAACCGCAUGAAAGUGUGGCUAAUACGGGAUAUUCUGGGUCUGUCGCAUGAUGGGUCUGGGAAAGAUAUUGUUUCGGUGGGGGAUGGGCUCGCGGCCUAUCAGCUUGUUGGUGGGGUGAUGGCCUACCAAGGCGGUGACGGGUAGCCGGCCUGAGAGGGUGGACGGCCACACUGGGACUGAGACACGGCCCAGACUCCUACGGGAGGCAGCAGUGGGGAAUAUUGCACAAUGGGCGCAAGCCUGAUGCAGCGACGCCGCGUGAGGGAUGGAGGCCUUCGGGUUGUGAACCUCUUUCGCCAGUGAAGCAGGCCUGCCUCGUUUGUGGGUGGGUUGACGGUAGCUGGAUGAGAAGCGCCGGCUAACUACGUG